UACGAAGGUGGCAAGCGUUGUUCGGAUUUACUGGGCGUACAGGGAGCGUAGGCGGUUGGGUAAGCCCUUCGUGAAAUCUCCGGGCCUAACCCGGAAAGUGCGGAGGGGACUGCUCGGCUAGAGGAUGGGAGAGGAGCGCGGAAUUCCCGGUGUAGCGGUGAAAUGCGUAGAUAUCGGAAGGAACAUCAGUGGCGAAAGCGACUUCCUGGACCAGUACCGACGUCAGGCACGAAAGCGUGGGGAGCAAACAGG
rnacentral:rRNA from 1 species